GGGCGCGUAGCUCAGCGGGAGAGCACUCCCUUCACACGGGAGGGGUCGCAGGUUCAAUCCCUGUCGCGCCCACCA
rnacentral:tRNA from 2 species